ACCUGCAAAGAGUCAGGUGAGGCCAUUAAGCUAACGUGACCACCUGACUCUAAUUAAGGCCCCUCUGAUAAUAUAAAAGGGCUCACUCCCCUCAGCCAGGGAGGAGCCAGAGGAGAAGAAGUGUAGCUGAAGGGCUGGUUAAUGAAGACACUCUGAAGUCAUUGAUCUAUUUUAGAUGUUGAAGAUACUGGCUCAUUUUCCUACUGCAAACCCUGAGACUGAGAGGUGACAAGCAGCAGGAUGGCUGUUAAGUCAAUCGGAGCCAACUACUUCAUCAUAAUCAAGUUGAUCCCCUUUUGGAUGCUUGUCUGUAAUGAUGCAGUUUGAAGAAAAAUACAGCAGUGAGAAUCCUGUCAAUCAAACCACUAGAAGUGUGAUUUGACCCUUUCCAAUUACUAUCUGUCAUUAUCCCAGCCAAAAUUAAACAAUGUAUCCUUC